rnacentral:rRNA from 1 species
AGAGUUUGAUCAUGGCUCAGGAUGAACGCUGGCGGCGUGCAUAAUACAUGCAAGUCGAGCGAACUGAUUAGAAGCUUGCUUCUAUGACGUUAGCGGCGGACGGGUGAGUAACACGUGGGCAACCUGCCUGUAAGACUGGGAUAACUUCGGGAAACCGAAGCUAAUACCGGAUAGGAUCUUCUCCUUCAUGGGAGAUGAUUGAAAGAUGGUUUCGGCUAUCACUUACAGAUGGGCCCGCGGUGCAUUAGCUAGUUGGUGAGGUAACGGCUCACCAAGGCAACGAUGCAUAGCCGACCUGAGAGGGUGAUCGGCCACACUGGGACUGAGACACGGCCCAGACUCCUACGGGAGGCAGCAGUAGGGAAUCUUCCGCAAUGGACGAAAGUCUGACGGAGCAACGCCGCGUGAGUGAUGAAGGCUUUCGGGUCGUAAAACUCUGUUGUUAGGGAAGAACAUGUACGAGAGUAACUGCUCGUACCUUGACGGUACCUAACCAGAAAGCCACGGCUAACUACGUGCCAGCAGCCGCGGUAAUACGUAGGUGGCAAGCGUUAUCCGGAAUUAUUGGGCGUAAAGCGCGCGCAGGCGGUUUCUUAAGUCUGAUGUGAAAGCCCACGGCUCAACCGUGGAUGGUCAUUGGAAA